rnacentral:rRNA from 1 species
AGUGAACGCUGGCGGUAGGCCUAACACAUGCAAGUCGAACGGCAGCACAGUAAGAGCUUGCUCUUACGGGUGGCGAGUGGCGGACGGGUGAGGAAUGCAUCGGAAUCUACUUUUUCGUGGGGGAUAACGUAGGGAAACUUACGCUAAUACCGCAUACGACCUACGGGUGAAAGCAGGGGAUCUUCGGACCUUGCGCGAUUGAAUGAGCCGAUGUCGGAUUAGCUAGUUGGCGGGGUAAAGGCCCACCAAGGCGACGAUCCGUAGCUGGUCUGAGAGGAUGAUCAGCCACACUGGAACUGAGACACGGUCCAGACUCCUACGGGAGGCAGAAGUGGGGAAUAUUGGACAAUGGGCGCAAGCCUGAUCCAGCCAUACCGCGUGGGUGAAGAAGGCCUUCGGGUUGUAAAGCCCUUUUGUUGGGAAAGAAAAGCAGCAGGUUAAUACCCCGCUGUUCUGACGGUACCCAAAGAAUAAGCACCGGCUAACUUCGUG